rnacentral:rRNA from 1 species
GCCCAGACUCCUACGGGAGGCAGCAGUGGGGAAUAUUGCACAAUGGGGGGAACCCUGAUGCAGCGACGCCGCGUGGGUGAAGGAGUAUUUCGGUAUGUAAAGCCCUAUCAGCAGGGAAGAACAAUGACGGUACCUGACUAAGAAGCACCGGCUAAAUACGUGCCAGCAGCCGCGGUAAUACGUAUGGUGCAAGCGUUAUCCGGAUUUACUGGGUGUAAAGGGAGCGCAGGCGGCGCGUUAAGCCUGGUGUGGAGGCCCGCGGCCCAACCGCGGGACUGCAUUGGGAACUGGCGCGCUGGAGUGCCGGAGGGGUAGGCGGAAUUCCUAGUGUAGCGGUGAAAUGCGUAGAUAUUAGGAAGAACACCAGUGGCGAAGGCGGAUUACUGGACGACAACUGACGGUGAGGCGCGAAAGCGUGGGGAGCAAACAGGAUUAGAUACCCUCGUA